rnacentral:lncRNA from 1 species
CAGGAAUUUCCUCCCAAGAUGCUUCAUAGUUGGCCUGAGGAGAUGAACACUAGGAGGAGGAUGCUCCGCACUCAGGGGAACUCCAGCGCUGCAUGGAUCUGUUACACUUUACAGACUGGGCUAGAUGAGACAACAGCGCAAUUUAAGUUUGCAGAAUAUGYAGAAAAUGGAAACCUCAGUGAGCCAGCAAAACCUUGGAGAUGUUGGAGAUACAGAAGAGGACCACCCACGAGAGCUACUGUGGCAGAAGGCAUCCAAGUGUAGUUCAUUAAAAGAGGCUCCAAUGCUUCUUCUGUGGCUCUAAUUCCURAAAGAAUUUGAAUUUGGAAGAGAUGUAGG